rnacentral:sRNA from 1 species
UUUUAGCCCUGAUGGAAACGGCAUCCUGUUGUGGUCUCGUUUUUUUUUUACGAGACCACAACAGAUAUAGUGUACAGCGGGAUUAGCU